GUUACAGAAGCUGCAGAGAAGGUUCAUUCACAGAACCAAGAAUGAUUUCAUAAUUGUUUGAAGAAUUAUGUUUUUAGAACCAACCUUGGUUUCAUAAUUGUUUGAAGAAUAAUGUUUUCUAUAAAUUUUUCUAUUGAUUAUUGGAAUAAAUUGUUUCAUAAAUAAUUUUCACUUUCUUUCCAUCAUUUUGUAUGGGACUUUGUUUUUCAUACAUCAGCACUCCCACAUUCUCUUUCAUUGUAUGUUGGUAUGGACUUAUUUGCUUCUAUCAUAUUAUUCUCACAGGUUUCCUUGCUAGAAGAAAAUA
rnacentral:misc_RNA from 1 species